rfam:Felis catus isolate Cinnamon breed Abyssinian chromosome D4, whole genome shotgun sequence.
ACCUGGCUGGCUCAGUUGGUAUAGCAUAUGACUUUUGAUCUCGGGGUUGUGGGUUCAAGCCCCAUGUCAGGUG